AUUGAACGCUGGCGGCAGGCCUAACACAUGCAAGUCGAGCGCGUGGCGGACGGGUGAGUAAUGUCUGGGAAUCUGCCCGAUGGAGGGGGAUAACUACUGGAAACGGUAGCUAAUACCGCAUACCAUCGGAUGUUCCCAUAUGGGAUUAGCUAGUAGGUGGGGUAACGGCUCACCUAGGCGACGAUCCCUAGCUGGUCUGAGAGGAUGACCAGCCACACGGGAACUGAGACACGGCCCAGACUCCUACGGGAGGCAGCAGUGGGGAAUAGUGCACAAUGGGCGAAAGCCUGAUGAAGCCACGCCGCGUGUAUGAAGAAGGCAUUCGGGUCGUAAAGCACUGUCAGUAGGGAGGCGGUAUUCACAGAAGAAGCACCGGCUAACUACGUGCCAGCAGCCGCGGUAAUAC
rnacentral:rRNA from 1 species